UACGUAGGGGGCUAGCGUUGUCCGGAUUUAUUGGGCGUAAAGAGCGUGUAGGCGGCCCGGUAAGUCCGCUGUGAAAGUCGAGGGCUCAACCCUCGAAUGCCGGCGGAUACUGUCGGGCUAGAGUCCGGAAGAGGCGAGUGGAAUUCCUGGUGUAGCGGUGAAAUGCGCAGAUAUCAGGAGGAACACCAAUGGCGAAGGCAGCUCGCUGGGACGGUACUGACGCUGAGACGCGAAAGCGUGGGGAGCAAACAGG
rnacentral:rRNA from 1 species